AAGUGGUAUCAGAGUCCAGUUGGUUCAUCCGACCAGGUGUAUAGUGUCUUAUAAGUUUUUAGUAUGUGAAUAGUGUGUGAAUACUAUUGAUAUAAGUUUCUUCUAACCAUGUUGUUGAUAUGUUUAUAAUAUGGAUGGAAGGAAUGAUGGUGCUAUUUAUAUCACCUUGCAAGUAAUGGCUCAAGUUGUGCAGAACAACCAAUAUGGAGGAAAU
rnacentral:lncRNA from 1 species